UUUCUCGUAUGCUCCAAUAUAUAUAUAUAUAUGAUCAGUAUCCAAUGCAUUUAUAUUUCCUUAGGAACUGCAGUAUUCAUAUUUGUUAUGUUUUACUUUUCUAGUUUUCUGACAUAUAAUUUGAUGUUCACCUAGUUGAAAUAGACUUGCAUGUACUGUAGUUGGUCUUUUGUUACAAAAACAGUUUUAGCAGUUAUUCCAGAACUAUAGGAGUUGCUGAAUUUAAAAGAGAAAAAUGUUCUAUUUCCAAGUAAAGAGAAAACAAAGCACGAACAGAAUUUUGCUGGCGUCUUAAUUGAUUAAGGUCAACUCGGUAAACUAAAAACAGUCAAUUAAUAACUACUAAAGUUAUUUAUCUAUAAUGUUGUAAAGUUUGAUCCAUCCAUGUUUUUUGUUUUUGGUAUAUGAUUACGCAUUCACCAGUUUCAAAUUACAUGCUCUCCUUUUCAAGAGGUUUGUUGCUUUUCAGAAUUCUCCAGUGAAUGUGACACAUUUAGUUUUACACUGGUUAAGGUAGAAACUGGAGAUAAAUAUAAUAUACAUGUUGCGGAUGCAAAGAUAACAUCAUUGCUGAUAGCAAGACAGAACCAUAAAGCUAACAAUAGUCAACUUCAUAAUAAAAGUUGCAGCUGAAGGAGGCUCUCCAGCCUCCACCCAACCAAAUGAUGGUCAGGUAAAUACGACAAUAUUAUUUCACUGCAUUAUAAGUAUUCCUUCAUGAAGAACUUUAAUAAAAAGGAAUGAAAGAGAAGAGGGUAUGUAUCAUUGUAGAUCUUCUUGAUGACAUUAUGCCAGGAGUGUUCCUGUAGUCCUGACUGUUACUGGAGAACACUCUUUGAGCCAUGAUCACUUUUGACAUCACCCCAAACUGAUUAAAAAGAAA